AGUGAACGCUGGCGGUAGGCCUAACACAUGCAAGUCGAACGGCAGCACAGUAAUAGCUUGCUCUUACGGGUGCCGAGUGGCGAAUGAGUGCGGAAUACCUGGGUAUCUACUUUUUCGAAGGGGCUAACGCGGGGACACUUACGCCAUUACUCCAUACGGCGUACGGGUGAAAGCAUGGGACCUUACGACCUUGCGCGAUUGUAGGACCCGAUGUCGGAUUAGCUAGUUGGCGGGGUAAAGGCCCACCAAGGCGACGAUCCGUAGCUGGUCUGAGAGGAUGAUCAGCCACACUGGAACUGAGACACGGUCCAGACUCCUACGGGAGGCAGCAGUGGGGAAUAUUGGACAAUGGGCGCAAGCCUGAUCCAGCCAUACCGCGUGUGUGAAGAAGGCCUUCGGGUUGUAAAGCCCUUUUGUUGGGAAAGAAAAGCAGCAAGUUAAUACCCCGCUGUUCUGACGGUACCAAAAGAAUAAGCACCGGCUAACUUCGUG
rnacentral:rRNA from 1 species